rnacentral:rRNA from 1 species
AUUGAACGCUGGCGGCAGGCUUAACACAUGCAAGUCGAGCGGAGAGAGGUAGCUUGCUACUGAUCUUAGCGGCGGACGGGUGAGUAAUGCUUAGGAAUCUGCCUAUUAGUGGGGGACAACAUUUCGACAGGAAUGCUAAUACCGCAUACGUCCUACGGGAGAAAGCAGGGGAUCUUCGGACCUUGCGCUAAUAGAUGAGCCUAAGUCGGAUUAGCUAGUGGGUGGGGUAAAGGCCUACCAAGGCGACGAUCUGUAGUGGGUCUGAGAGGAUGAUCCGCCACACUGGGACUGAGACACGGCCCAGACUCCUACGGGAGGCAGCAGUGGGGAAUAUUGGACAAUGGGCGCAAGCCUGAUCCAGCCAUGCCGCGUGUGUGAAGAAGGCCUUAUGGUUGUAAAGCACUUUAAGCGAGGAGGAGGCUACUUUAGUUAAUACCUAGAGAUAGUGGACGUUACUCGCAGAAUAAGCACCGGCUAACUCUGUGCCAGCCGCCGCGGUAAUAC